rnacentral:rRNA from 1 species
GACGAACGCUGGCGGCGUGCUUAACACAUGCAAGUCGAACGAAAAGGCACUGCUUUUGUGGGGUGCUCGAGUGGCGAACGGGUGAGUAACACGUGAGUAACCUGCCCUUGACUUUGGGGUAACUUCAGGAAACUGGGGCUAAUACCGGAUAGGAGCUGCUGCUGCAGGGUGGGGGUUGGAAAGUUUCGGCGGUUGGGGAUGGACUCGCGGCUUAUGAGCUUGUUGGUGGGGUAGUGGCUUACCAAGGCUGUGACGGGUAGCCGGCCUGGGAGGGUAAACGGGGUCAUUGGGCCUGAGAUACGGACCAGACGGCUACGGGAGGCAGCAGUGGGAAAUAUUGCACAGUGGGCGGAAGCCUGAUGCAGCAACGUCGCGUUCGGGAUGACGGCCUUCGGGUAGUAAACCGCUGUCGCCUGUGACGAAGCGUGAGUGACGGUACUGGGUAAAGAAGCACCGGCUAACUACGUG